rnacentral:lncRNA from 1 species
UGAAAAUCAACAGUAAAGGCAAAAAUGAAGGUGGAAUUUACACUUCGGAAAUUUUUCAUAAAACUGGAAAGCGUGCGUCAGAAGUCGACUUUGAAGUCAUCCUUCUAGAGGCCGUCUCAGAGCCUGUGGUGCACACAGCCUGCACAUUUGACGGGAGAGUCGUUCUCACCUGCUCUGUGAACAGAGGAGACCAGGUCAAUUUUCAGUGGACGCUGCAUCCGAAUUCAUCGGGCGAAACCCCCCCUUUGCUGGGACGUACGCAGUACUUUGACAGUCACACACCCGGACACGUCGUCUGUGAGACGCAAAACGGAGUGAGCAGACGGAAGAGUACGCCAGUUGCUAUGCAGAGGUGCAGAGGUUAUAUUCCCACUGUGGUCGUGCUGACCAUAUUACCUGUUGUUGUGACAUUCUCCGUGGCCUUUUGGACCAUAAAUAAAAAACUGCCAAAGAGCGACAGAAAAGAACCGACAAGCACAGGAACUAGACGUGGUUCUUGUCAUGAGGUGGUUCCCCCGUGUCCAGAUCUGAAAGAGAACAUGUACGUCGAGAUGCAAGGGGACCUGGGAAAGAGAGAGAAAAACCUCAAGGCUUUUGCUGCAGAACUGGGCAACUUUCAGCAAGAGGCAUGCAGCAGUACGACUUCAUGCGCGACGGAAAACAGAGAAGAAAUGGAAGAUAUCUAUGUGUAACGACAGUGCGAUGCGGGCAGAGACAUCACAUCGGCUUCAGAAGGUAGAUAGUUAAAGGUUUUAAAAAUAGAUGCUCAUGAUCUAAAGGUUUAAAGCCCCAGUUCUUCUGCUGCUGUAGAGCAGCUGAGAAAUGUAAAUGGGACAAAUACUCUAAACCCUUCUGCAUAAAGGAGUUACCUAAGCAACAAAUUAGUAGAUAAAAUGCAUUUUUUGUAUGUCAUUGAUUCAUUUGUUCAAGUUAAUGCUUCAGAAACUAAGAAUAUUCUAAUAAUUGUGAGCCAAAUUGAUAUGCUUGUG